rnacentral:rRNA from 1 species
AUUGAACGCUGGCGGCAGGCCUAACCCAUGCAAGUCGAACGAGUGGCGGACGGGUGAGUAAUGUUUGGGAAACUGGCUGAUGGAGGGGGAUAACUACGGGAAACGGUAGCUAAUACCGCAUACCAUAGGAUGUGCCCAAGUGGGAUUAGUUUGUUGGUGAGGUACCGGCUCACCAAGACGACGAUCCCUAGCUGGUCUGAGAGGAUGACCAGCAACACUGGGAAUGAGACACGGGCCAGCCUCCUACGGGAGGCAGCAGUGGUGAAUAUUGCGCAAUGGGCGCAAGCCUGAUGCAGCCAUGCCGCGUGUAUGAAGAAGGCCUUCGGUGUGUAAAGUUCUUUCGGCGGAGAGGCGUUACCCACAGAAGAAGCACCGGCUAACACCGUGCCAGCAGCCGCGGUAAUAC